UGGGGAAUAUUGGACAAUGGGCGAAAGCCUGAUCCAGCCAUGCCGCGCGUGUGAAGAAGGUCUUCGGAUUGUAAAGCACUUUAAGCUGGGAGGAAGGGCAGUAAGCGAAUACCUUGCUGUUUUGACGUUACCGACAGAAUAAGCACCGGCUAACUCUGUGCCAGCAGCCGCGGUAAUACAGAGGGUGCAAGCGUUAAUCGGAAUUACUGGGCGUAAAGCGCGCGUAGGUGGUUCGUUAAGUUGAAUGUGAAAGCCCCGGGCUCAACCUGGGAACUGCAUCCAAAACUGGCGAGCUGGAGUAGGGCAGAGGGUGGUGGAAUUUCCUGUGUAGCGGUGAAAUGCGUAGAUAUAGGAAGGAACACCAGUGGCGAAGGCGACCACCUGGGCUCAUACUGACACUGAGGUGCGAAAGCGUGGGGAGCAAACAGG
rnacentral:rRNA from 1 species